GAGACACAAAGAAAGAGAAGAAGAGGAACGAACAGAAGCAGAAGGGGGCGAGAAAUCAGAAAAGGAAAAAAAACAGAGUGUUUCCUUCUUCCUCUUAAAGAAAAUCACAGCAGCCAUACACGAUUCAAAUACCAUGUUUCUUCAUAAUUUCACCAUGUAAAGCACAACAAAACAAAGGGGUUUGGGGGGAUUAUAUUUCUCCUAGAAAGCUCACUGCUUACCCUUAAACCAACAUCCUCCAACAAACAUCGUUGUUUUCUACCUCUGUUUUUCAUCUUUGUUGAAUUACCGGCAGUCGACCAGGAUCCAUAGCCAUCGCCAUAGAUCUCCAUCACAGCUUCAUCUCAACGUCGAAAAUAAUCGUGCUCCACUAUCCUUUACCAAAGCUCUGUUCAAUUGCUUUGAAUUACCAAGUUCUACCGGUUUCAGUUGGGGUUUUCCCAUCGAGGUCGAGUUCGACUUCCGGUCAAGAGGUUAAUUGUUCGUGGUUUUUAGCCCAGCUAGGUGUCAUGUUCGCUGGUCUUAGUAGAGGUACGUCGAGGUCUUCGGUCUUUGCUCAAUUCCUGGACAGAGUCCAUUCUUUUACAGUUUUUGGGUUGGAAGCACUUUGAAAGUUCCAUUAAUUUCCCUAAUCAUUUUUUCUCUUAAUGCUACGCUUUUGUGGCAUUUAAUUUGAUAAUCUGAAUCUUCUUGAUGUUUGAUUAUUAGAUGAGAUAUAUUUUCACUUAGUAACUAUUUUGAUUAUUUAAUUUGGAUAAUUAUCCUUUGUUUGCACAAAAACUAACCAAAAGUUAUGUGGGUAUUAUUCAUUAAUUGAGCUCAAUCAAUUGGGCUUAUAAGAAAUGGAUCGCGGGAUUGGUUUAAAAGUGAAACUUAGUGUUGGAUUUGAUAUGUUUUUUAUUGCUUUACAUUAUCUAUUUAAAGUCGUUAAGGGCAUGCUUAAGCAAUCAAUACCCUGGUAGGCAUCUUUUAGGACGCCCUUCUUUUUUUAGGCUUCUAAGGAAAAAAGGUGUUCCCUUAGUUAUUAUUUUAUUCAGGGGGUGUCUAGUAAAUUUUGUAUAUAUUUUUAUUCGCGAUAUGCCCUAUAAUAAUUAUAAUUGGAGAUCAUGGCGAACGUCGCAUAGGAAGCAUAAGAAUAGGGUAGCGUCGGACUUUUAGAACCUUUUUUUCGUUUUCCUUUCCUUUUUAUUAAAUUUUCUUUUAUUAGGUGGGGACAACCUUGAGCCUUUUUUGUAUUUAUUUUUAUUUUUGUGUGUUAUGUCUCAAUUAGAAUAUUUUUAUAGCCAACUAACUCACAUAUGCAAUCGUGAUUUUCACGAGAUUCAGGGAAUACCUAACAUUUUUUUUCGGGUCAAAUGAAUCCCCUUACUUAGAAUUUUUGAUGUAGUUAGUUUUAUAGUCAAAUGUGUUUUAAAGGAUUUUUUUUUAAAAAAAAGCGUACCUGGCUCACUGAAUCAAAUGUCAGGUGGCAACCAUGAAAAAUCCUUCGAAACACAACUGUUGUCACUUUCGAAUUUGAAAACCCUUUUGAGCUUCAAAAUUACUCUAUAUUUUUAAAGAGGGUUAAGGUGAAAAAAAGGAUAUGACAACUUUGCUACUUUGCCGCGGGGUUAUAGAUUCGAACUUGUACUUGAUCUUGUUGUCUUUAUAGAAUAUUGUAUUGAGGUGCAUGAUUUCUUUAUCUUCUUUUUUUAUUUGGUUUGUUUGUUUUAUUUCCUAUUUUUGGUUGUUUAUUUGAUUAUUGUUUUUUUCUUAUGUGUUUACUGUUUUAUAAACUGUCAAUAUUCUCAUAACCAUGUGUCUUCUUUCUGUAACAAGUCUUCUAGAGUACGUUUGAGCAUACAUGAUCUUUUUAUGAGUCAUCCGUGUCUUUAGGGUGGUGACGUGGGAGUGUGGAGUGGGCGGACAACUAGAAUAGCCGCCAUCGACCACAUGCCGUGCAAAAUUUCCUUGUCUAGUGAACCCCAAACUUAGGUCAUCCUUUAAGUAAUUCUUAUUUGAAUCAUUUCAUUUAAACCUAACAAGGCUCGGUCCCAAGCACUGUGUCCCUUUUUAGGAGGCUUAUCCAAAUUAUGUCAAAAUCUGCUCGUGGCCCAAAAAGACAUUUAAUCAUACCUAUGUGUUACAUGAUGCAUUCUUUAAGGGUAAAGGGUUAUUUGGAGGACCAAUGAUGGUUGAGGGCAAAUGAGAAAGAAAAGAAGGUGAAGUACAAAAAUAAAACUAGUAAAGGCUAAUUAUACUUUUCUUUAACAACUUUUUCAAAAAAAAAUUUAACAAGAUGUUCUCUCAUUUUUAGGUCUAUUCCUGUUGAAUUUGCAUGAUUAGCCAUUUUCUGGCCAUAUAAGUCGUUUUUGCAAAGUGAGGUCACUUUUGCAAUGUAAUUUUGGAGACCUUGAUUCCUAAGAGAUUGGGGGCUACAUAGGCCCUUGUGAGGUGUUUUCCAUUCUUAGAGGUCAGCCUAAUUGAGUUAACACUUCUAGCCACUCUUGACCACAUAAGUAAUUUGCAAAAAUAGCCCCAAUCAUCUCUUGCAUGCGUCCAAUAGGUAGUGUUAUGGCUCACAUAUUAUUUUGAGUCACUAACUAUGUUUGGUGUUAUUCUUCUCAUUCAGGUAUGCAUCCACUUAAUAGAGCUUGAGCAUGGCAAACGUCCCAAGACCAUCUUAGUCAGUACCAUUUCUUUUAGGAGUUGCUUGAGAAGAUUUUUUAUAUUUUGAGUCUGUUUUUUCUUUUAUUUCAUAAGUCUUGUCCAAUAUCAUUGAUUAUUUUAGGUGAUGUCAUAGUUUGUCGUAAUCUAGUUGAGUUUGUCGAAUCUUUUGUUAUCGUACUUCCUAUGAUGUAUUUGAAAAUAAAAAAAUUGUUAUAAAUGAAAAAUCUAAAAAAAAUUUAGUUUUAGUUUAGUAUGUCCAUUACUUUUCCAGAACUACGCUUGGUCUGGUUUAUGUGGAACAUGAUACAUAGGCAACUACAUCAGGUUCGAUCGAAUCAUUUUUAAAAUUAAAAGAGAAAAAAGAAGAAGAAGUUAUGAGAUGUGAAAAGUGAGAGAAAAGAAAAGAGUCAUAGGGAAAAAGAGAGGGAAGAACAUGAAAAACCAAUGAGCGUAAUCGGAAAACAAUAAAUAAAUAAAUACAUAGUAAACAGGAUAAGGGGAAAGAAGAGUGAAUUUGGGAUGAUGCCAAUAAGACCUUCGCACUCUCGAAGUCAUCUUAGAACCGAUAACUGCAACUAGGUGCAUUGCAUAUAAUGUGAGAUUAUCUUAUAUUAAAUUCCCUAACUAAAAUAUGAUGACUUCAUUUUAUUCCUCUUUGUUAUCUUCAUUAUAGCAGAAGGUUGGUUGAUUUGUGGUUCUUAAACUGAUAACUCUUUCCUAUAACAAAAAGCCGAAACUUAACGGUAGACGUCAACAGAAUUGAGUUGGUUAAUAUUGGUGCCCAAAAGCAAUUGGUUGAACAAGACACUGGUUUGGUUGAAGAGGUAAGUAUGUUAAGACAACACAUGGCGGACAUGUAUCAGGCUCGGAUGAUGGGUAAGGCACCACCCCCGCCACCACCUACUAGAUGCCACCUCCACCAAAGACCUGGUCAUGGUGUAAGACGAUCUAUUAUAUUUUCCAGAUUUUCCCGCUUAUUAUAGCUUUCCUAACCUCCCUAUUAGCUCCAUUGUUCUUCAUUUAACUAUAUUUUUCAAAAAUACCCCUCAUGUCAUAUCUACUAUCCCAAUUAUCACAACUUCUCAACAGCCUUUCAUUCAUAUAUCCAAUAGUGAAUACCAUCUCAAACCUCUUGAUAUCCAAUACUACCCCCCAGAGUUGACCAACCAGGUCCCAGAAUCAUAUAAUCAUAGCUCUUAGAAUGAGCCUUAUGUUGAAAAUGAUAAGUACACAAGGAAGGAAAAGCGAGAUGGGAUAUCCAUAAAGUUGAAAGGUAUAUAACAAUCCUUCAUGAAUAUACAAGGGAUGUGAAAUCAGACUAACAUGUCUUACAAUAACUUGUGUAUGUUCACUGAUAUUCAUCUGCCUGCGAGGUUUAAAAUGUCAAAGUUUAACUUAUAUGACAGGCGUGGAGAUCCAGUAGCCCAUCUGAGGGGUUAUUAUUGUGAAAUGAGAAGUGUUGGCGGGAAAAAUGAGUUUUUUAUGGAGUAUUUCAGUGAGAGCUUGAGUAAGGUAGCCUUGGAAUGAUAUACUCGUCAAGAUAUCAGUAAGUGGUAUGCAUUGGAUGACAUGACUCAAGAUUUUGUUCGAUACUUUCAAUACAAUAUAGAUAUUACCCCAAACUGCUCCUCCCUCUCUAAGAUAGAAAUGAAACUCGAGUAAAGUUUUAGGGAGUUUGGGCUCUGAUGGAGGGAACAAGCUGCUCGGGUCAGUCCCUCGAUUGAUGAAGAAGAAAUGGUUAAGAUUUUUUUACAAGCUCACGGACCCACCUACUUCAAUUAUUAGAUCAUAGCUUUAGGUAAACUGUUUAAUAAUGUGGUAAAAGUGGGGGAGAUGUUAGAAAAAGGGAUCAAGUCAGGAAAAAUCAUGAGCUAUUCUGUAUUGAAAUAUAAGAUAUUUAGAACAUUUCAAUAAGUUUGAGUGGAAGAAGGAGAAAUAGAAAAGAUGUUGUUGAUCCCCACCAAUGGCAAAAUCCAGUGGGAAUUCUUGCUCAACACUUUCAACCUCAAUAUCAGCCCUAUGAACAACCUCGUACUCUAGAUAAUCCUCCCCAAUUCUACUUCUCUCCACAAAAUUUCCAAAGUCAUACCCCACCUUCCCAAUACUCUAUACGCAAUGCACCUCCAUAUGCUCAACAUCACAAGGACUGCAAUCGUUUGCACCAUCUUCUCAAAUUUCUUACCCACCUCUACGUGCAUAUCAACCACCUACUCGCAAGAGGUUCCAGCCAAGAACGUAAUACAAAAUGAAAAGCCAAUAACAAAAGGGAAAGUGUUUCACUCCUAUUGGAGAAUUAUAUGCCAUAUUGUUCCAAAAGUUGAGGGAAUUGGACAUGUUGAAGCCGAUUCGAAUAAAAAUUGCUAAACCCCAUUCCAAAGAAUUUUGAUUAUUCUCAAAGGUCCAUGUAUUGCUCUAAUUACCUGGGGCACAACAUAGAAAUGUGUUGGAAUAUGAAAAGAGCAGUCCAGAAGCUUAUUGAUGCAGGUGACAUUAUCGUGCAAAAUCCAGAUGUAACGAAUACUAGCCAAAAGUCAAUUGCCUUUUUGUAAUGAGACGCAUAUGGUGCACAUGAUUUGUGUUGAAAAGGAAUAUGAGAAUGCUAAUUUUUUUGGUGGUCCACUUGCGGUGAAGUUUUCGGCGCUACCAGUCUCAAUUCCAAAAGUUGAUCUUAAGAACGAGUUGGUAAAAGGGAUCCAAAAGCAAUUUGCUAAGGUGAAUGUGAUUGAGACUCGUUAAGUCCUAGUAAUGUCGAUCUAUGACUUUGUGGCUAAGAUGUCGAGCUUGGUAAUUAGAAAGACACUCGUUUUCUAGUUAGCCAUGAAUGAGUCUUGGUAGUUUAUUUUUUUGUCAUUUCUGUUAUCCGGAUCAUUUCGGGGUUGUAAUCCAGAUAUUAUCUUUUGACUCAAACCCUUCUAUCCUUUUAUUUUCCUAGAUCGACUAGUGUAUUUACCUUAUUUAGUGAUAUUUAGGUUAUUCUAGGCUUGUAACCAAAGUUCUAUGUUGCUUGUUUUGUUGUUCAACCCUUUCACCAUCUAUUUAGUGAAAUCCCUGUUCUCUGGUAUUUCUAGUCUGUUUUUGUUUAGUUUUCUUUUCCUUUUAUGGUCUUUUCAUGCUGACUCUAGUAACAUGACACCCAUGUAGAAUUUUUAGUCUGGUCUUAAAAGUUAGUCUACUCAUGGAACAAUAAAAUAAGUUUUGAAGAUGAUAGAGAUGCAUUUGAGGAAAUACAUAAGGGUUUAGAUAUUUUGAGAUUAUUUAAAACCCGAAUUGUGUUAAACUGAGAAAGAUAGUUUGGGAAGUUAAAAGGAAGACAAGAAUUUGUUACGAGAGAGUGCAUCCCAGAUAAUUUGAAGCGAGUAACUUUGAAUUCAGGUGCAUCUUAAGUUACAAGAUAAAGCCAGCCAGUUUGCUCCAAACUGGCGGAGGACAUCCAUUGUGAAAAAUAAUUACCCAACAAGAGUUAUGUACUUGAUAAGGCACUAAAUAAAGGUUGACGACAUAUCCGUGAUAUCAAUGCCGUUACUGCAAGGAAGAGUUAUACGUGAUCUCAAUUUUCAACCUAGUUGCAUGUAUUGUACUUGGCAUUUUCAGAGAUUGAGAGGUCUUCUUUCAGCUACCCAAACACUUUAUACUCUUUGGUACCAUUUUGAGCAUGUGCUAAUUUCUUUGACCUCCCUUUUUUGGAAUCAAGUUAGAGUCAUUUAAAAAUAUAAGUCAUGUCCCCAUAAGGUUUGUUUUAGAAAGUUUACCCCAAUAGAAAAAUAGAAAAAAAGAGAAAAAGAGAAAAAAGGAAAAGAUAUAAAGAAAGAAAAGAAGGGAAAAAGAAGAAAAAAGAGAGAAAGAAGGGACAAAAAGAGAAAAAGAAAAGAAAAAUAGCAACAACAAGAUACGUAGGAUGCCUUACUCCAGGGUUCGGUCACACCAAGUCAACAAUUCUAAAAUUCCUCACUACAAAAGAAACUGGGGCAGAAGUUUUGUUUUCUAUAAAAGACGAUUCCAAAAGUUGUAAAGUUAUACCUCAUGUUGUCUUAGUUUGAAUUUGAGCCUUCAUUCCUUUCUUUAUUUCAAAUUCUGUCCAAAAGCCACAUUAUAGUCUAAAAAGACUUUCCAGAUAAUCUUUUUGAGAGUUCUGAGUUAGACAUGCGUGGAGCAUAUAUUUUUACCAUGGUUAAUACUUUGUCAUCCCCAAAAUCAGAUAAAAUAAGAAGAAAGGAACAAAAUGAGAGUGUCUUAUUAGGAAAACCCUCACAGGCACCAUAAGACGAUGAUGAGUUGAGAAAAAGUACAAAAAAAAGAGAGGCUUUAUGGUGAAAACCCUUCGUGGAUCUAAUAAAAUAAUUGGAUCAUCUGAUCCCAAUUCCAAAGGUUGAAGGUAUGUCAAGAAUUUAAAGUUAGGCUUACUGGACAUAUUAGGCUAUUAGUCCAAAAUUCAUGUCAUGAUCAUUAGAGUUGGUACCAAGAUUAAAUAAGUCUCUACUUUGUACGUUCUUGUUAGAUAUUAUCUCUUUUAAUUGUCCCCAUACUAUGUUCCUCUUACUUUGUUUAAGUCUUCAUUUUGUGUCUGUUUUGUCAGAAAAAAUGAGAAAUACUUUUAAAAUUUACUACCAGCGUUACAAUUGCACAAAAUGGAGUCUGGCUAGCACAUCAAAGUGGCAUGAGUCAGGAAAGCAUAGUAUGCGUACUGAGUUGAUAACAAUUGAUGUUCUUUAGGAUUCAUGCGAAAUGCAUAGGUUCGGUAAAUAUCAAUUCAUGGGCACAAUACAAUAGAUACAAGGUAUUGGGCUUGAACAGAUCAUGGGUGUUUUCUGUGAUAAGGGUCGGCAGAUAAUAUGGUUAUCCAAUCACAAGAAAGUCUUCCAAGUUGAAAUCAAAGUUAUCAUGGAAUGUGAAUGAGCGAUUGCCCUCAAGGUCAAGGCCAGAAAUCAACCACCAUGGUUUAAACUCACAAGUUUUCUUUGUUUGAAAUAUGGAUGCAAACUAUGUCCAAACCAAAGCUUGGAAGCUUGAAACCUUCGGGUGUCUUGCCCAAAUAUUUUUAGCACAAAGGUUAUUUGAGAAGAUUUUUUUGUACCUCCUAGACAUUCCCCUAGUUGAGAAGACCAUUACAUCAUACGCAUUUUUCCAUGUUGAGAAGUUUCGUGCCCCCUAGACAUCCUUCCUAGUCAGAAGAGUCUUUAGUUUUAUUAAAGUUCAAGCGUCCCGUAUGGAAAAUUGGAUCAAUGUUAGUUUCCUCAAGUUAUUAAUCUCUAUCUUUCUUGAAGUUCAGGAUACCCCCUACACUUAUUGGUUUUCCCUAAGUUGUCAGUUUUGUUUCCUUAAGUUCUUAAUCGUUAGCAUUUCUUUAGUUCAAGUGUCUUGCCUGGAGAAUAGGGUCAGUUUUUAGUUUUCAUAAGUUGUUAGUCUUUAGUUUUUCUUAAAGAUUAGGGGCCGCUUGGAGAAUAAGAUAUAUUUUUAGUUUUCUUAAGUUAUUAGUCUUUAAUUUUUCUUAAAGUUCAGGGGUCCCGCUAGGAGAAUAUGGUUAGUUGUUAGUUUCCUUAAGUUUUCAAUCUCUAGUUUUUCUUGAGUUCAGGAGUCCCACCUGGAGAUGGGUCAAGUUUUAGUUUAUUGAAACUCAGUUUAUAGUUUUCCUUAAGUUCAGUUUAUUGAAACUCAUAGGAGAUGCACAUCCUAGUCAAGUAUUUAAUUUUACUCUCAUUAUUCCAUCCUUAAUCAAUAACAUAGGUAAUUUAUAGUUUUGCUAACAACUCAUAACUCUUCCUAGUGCAAUCUGGGCAGAAAAUUUUGUUUGCGUUGUUUGUUUUGAUUGCAGGCACCCAGCUGGAGAACGAGAGUUAAUAUUUCAGAAUCGGUUUUAAGUUCAAAUAAGAAAUAUAACAGAGCCCACCUGAAAAACAAGGUCAACUUUAAGUUUCCUUCAAGUUCAAGCAGCAUGAUCUCGCCUGAAGAACAUGGUCAAUUUUUAAUUUUCGAGUUCAAGAAGCAGGAGCUCACCUGAAAAUGCAGCUUUCAAUUUUUAGUUAAGGUCAAAAGUAUCAGGAGCCCGUUUGAAGAACAUGGUCAACUUUGAGUUUUCAAGUUCAAGUCAGAGGCAACAGGAUCCCUCUUGAAGAAUAGGGGAAACAUCCAGUUAUAGUUCAAAUCAAAAGUAGCACGAGGCCGCACGAAAAACAAGGUCUGCAAGCUCAAGUCUAUUCCAAUUUCAAGUUUAUUUCAAGUACAAGCAACAGGAUGCCCGCCCGAAAAAUAGGGUCAACUUCCAAUUUUCGUCAAGUUCAUGUCACCUGGAUGCUCACCUAAAGAAUAUGGUUGAUUUUCUAUUUCAU
rnacentral:lncRNA from 1 species